AGUCAUAAAAAAUUUAUAUACCGAGAAGGAAUAUGAAUCCAAACUUGGACUCAGAAUCAGCAGCAGAUAGAACAUGUUAUAACUAUUUAAUCAUGAUAGUUUUGAUGUCAAUAAUUAAUUGGUUUCUAUUCAAUCUCAUACCGUUUUCUCUCUUUGUAGUUUUCUCUUUCUAAGAUAGUGGAUCUUUUCUUGCGCUGAAUUCGCGGUUACCUCUGCCCCUUUCAGGUAGGGGUGGCUCGGGUGGCUCCUCGGCUCCUCCACCUCACUCGACUCGUGGGUUUCUCCUCUCUCUCCUCUGAACACUCCCAAAUCUGAGCCAUGCAUGGAGGUUUGACGAUGGAGAAGCAUCGAUGGAUUGGUGUUUGCUCACUCCCUCUCUUGCUGUAUCUGGAGGUCGUCCCUUUGGCUCGGUCAGAGAAAUUCCCUCAGUGUUGUACUUCCGAUGAUUUCCUUGCUUACAACGAUGGGUGAGAUGGAGAGUUCUCCUCUCGCAGCCUCAUCUCUUUUGAGAUUCAUUUUUUUUUUGAGAUUCUUCUCCUCUGGCUCUCACCAGGAGGCUACACUCAAUUGUAGAAUUUUUUUUCUUCUACUUUUCAAGUGUUUAGUCUUCUCCAACUAUCCUUACCUCAACGCUGCAUGUGAGUUCACUUCGAUCCACGUUGUUCUCUGUUGAUCCUUGAAGGUUUUCUUUCUGGCA